CGAAAGCCUGACGGAGCAACGCCGCGUGUGGGAAGAAGGCUCUUGGGCUGUCAACCACUUUUCUCAGGGAAGAAGUUCUGACGGUACCUGAGGAAUCAGCCUCGGCUAACUCCGUGCCAGCAGCCGCGGUAAUACGGAGGAGGCAAGCGUUAUCCGGAAUUAUUGGGCGUAAAGCGUCCGCAGGGGGCUCAUCAAGUCUGCUGUCAAAGGUCGGAGCUCAACUCCGGUACGGCAGUGGAAACUGGUGGGCUAGAGGGCGACAGGGGUAGAGGGAAUUCCCGGUGUAGCGGUGAAAUGCGUAGAGAUCGGGAAGAACAUCGGUGGCGAAAGCGCUCUACUGGACGGCAACUGACACUCAGGGACGAAAGCUAGGGGAGCG
rnacentral:rRNA from 1 species